rfam:Hydrogenobaculum sp. Y04AAS1, complete genome.
GCGGAUGUAGCUCAAUGGUAGAGCAGCUGCCUUCCAAGCAGCAGGCUGCGGGUUCGAGUCCCGUCGUCCGCU